rnacentral:rRNA from 1 species
UACGGAGGGGGCGAGCGUUGUUCGGAAUUACUGGGCGUAAAGCGUGCGCAGGCGGUGAUGUAAGACAGAUGUGAAAUCCCCGGGCUCAACCUGGGAACUGCAUUUGUGACUGCAUCGCUGGAGUGCGGCAGAGGGGGAUGGAAUUCCGCGUGUAGCAGUGAAAUGCGUAGAUAUGCGGAGGAACACCGAUGGCGAAGGCAAUCCCCUGGGCCUGCACUGACGCUCAUGCACGAAAGCGUGGGGAGCAAACAGG